GAUUGAACUAUGCUUGAACAGAACGAAGGCAGAAGAAACUGGUGGAGGUUCUUGGCGGUGUUGAUGUACAAAUCACUCGUCAGAUUUGCAUAUAGAGGUGAAAGACUAAUUGAAUCGUCUAUUA
rnacentral:ncRNA from 1 species